rnacentral:rRNA from 1 species
UACGUAGGCAGCGAGCGUUGUUCGGAAUUACUGGGCGUAAAGAGUGUGUAGGCGGUGCUCUAAGUUCGGUGUGAAAUCUCCUGGCUUAACUGGGAGGGUGCGCCGGAAACUGGAGUGCUUGAGCGUGGGAGAGGAAAGCGGAAUUCCUGGUGUAGCGGUGAAAUGCGUAGAUAUCAGGAGGAACACCGAUGGCGAAGGCAGGUCUCUGGGCUGUAACUGACGCUGAGGAGCGAAAGCAUGGGGAGCGAACAGG